rnacentral:lncRNA from 1 species
GUGCUUCGAAUCGGCUGAUAAAUUGAUCUGGGUGAGUGAAGGGUAGAUUGAUAAUUGGACCAAUCCCAUCAGGAAACCAUCGCUUAAGAAUGGGCGGUUGGGAAAUCGAAAUAAUCUCAUCCCCAUCCGAUGACGUUGCUUGAAAAAUUUCCGACCACAUAUUGAAGAAAUUCCAGUAGGAGGUUCCGUCGCCAAUGGCAUGGUUGAAGGAACAGGCGAUGAAGACUCCAUCGAGUAGUUCUGUUACUUGAACGGAAAGUAAAGGCAUAGUAUGACCGUCGUAAUUAACAGCUUUGUGAUGGUCAAAGAAAGAUUGGACCAGUAAAGGCACAUCGACCGGGGACAGAACAUCGGAAAUUGUGAUGUCAAGGGCUGCGUGGAUGAACUUGGCUCCGGGACUGUUAAGGCAGUCAACAUAAAUGGAGACAGAAGAUUGUUGGUCGUUUGAAACGGUGGAAAGGCGGCCGGAGAGUGGGUAGAAAUGAAAGAGAGCAAUGGAGAGGGAAUUUUGAAGGCGGUGAAGAAGAUGGAGCAUGAAAGGGUGUGGAGAUUGAUUGAUUAGAUGGGAAGGUUUAGGAAAGAGGAGGCCUUUCUGGAUAUAGUGGGCGGAGAGCAUGGCGAGAUCUCCAGGGAUCAAAUGAUAGGGUUGAUUUGAUUGUUGGGGAAGGAAUUUUGGUUUGACAAAGCAUUCUGAGAUGCGUCGGAUUGAAGGAUGAUGGGAAUCCAUGAAGGUGGGAGUGAGAGAGAUGUGUUUUCAGAUUCGUUGCUCCUUCUAAUUAGGUAUUAAUUCAACUUUGAUCUCUCUUAUUUAAUAAAGAAGCGGUGGACAGUCGGCAGUGGGCAGUGGGCAGUGGGCACAGAAAUUUCACAAAAAUAAAAGUUCUGUCCCAAUUAAACCCAUUUUUUUUAAAAGAAAUUAUGUCUUUAAAUUGACCUACAACCUCCUUUUUAUUUAUUUAAGGUGGAUUAAAAUUUACUUUGAUACUUCAAUUUUAUAUAUAUUUUUUUAUUUUGAUUUCUAAACUUUUCUAAACUUUUGUUUCACUCUUUUAAAACUUUUUUAAAAAUUUAGUUACGUCAUUGGUGCAAAGUGUUCUGUUAAUUUUCAAAUGGACUUAUAUGAAAGAUCAUACUCCAAAUUGAUUAUAUCUCUUAAAUUGUCCCUAAAAUUUUAAUGUCUAGCCAACAUAAAAUUAUAAUCAACACAUUUAUCAAAUAAACUUAAAAAUUAACUUUUCUUCAUUUUUUUAAAAUUGAAAUUUGACAAGCAAAUCAAAAGAACUUUUCUGUAUUGUGUUAACAUCCUUGACAAGUAAAAUAAUAACGAUUAAAAUCUUAAAGGCAACUUAACUUUUGAAUUCUUCAAUAAAAAAUCAAUUUACCAUUUGAUCUAUAAUUAAAAAUAGAAAACACUAGUAUUUUAAGAGUGAUAUUCUUACUUGACAAUCUUGUCAUCCACGUAUAGAAGUAGUCUCAUCACCCGAUUUAAGGAACUAUUUAAAAUGUUUAGGAACAAAAAAAAGGGGGGAUAUAGAGUAUUAUUUAUUUUUCUGGUGAAAGACCAUAUCUCCAAUACUUGAAGAUCAAAUCGUUACUGUAUCUCUUUUUAGGUAUGAAGGGCAACCUUUGCAAUGAAUUUGGGAAUGAAGAACUAACAAGAAGUGAAAGCAUUCUCUCAAAAGUAAUUUACAAAUUUGAAAUACUCAAUAAAGCAAUCUUCACAACACGGUAUAUCUCUGUCAAGAAUUUGAUAAAAAGAAAAAAAAGGGAGAUGGGAGAGACAACUAUGGUGUGUUUUUUUUAGUAAAUUUGAAGAUUGUAAGUAUGUGAAAUUGUAGAGAAAAUGGAUUUAAAAAGGGAGAGGGAGAUUUCUGGCCAUUAGCCACCAACAUAAAAUAAUUUAUACUUUGCAUUAUUUUUAAACUAAGUCGACCAUAUCAUUAGUCUAUAAGAAAUAAACUAUACUUGUAAUGUUUUUAAAAUGAUAUUAAAUUUUAUGAAUAGAGAAAUGUUGG